rnacentral:rRNA from 1 species
AUUGAACGCUGGCGGCAGGCCUAACACAUGCAAGUCGAACGAUUUGCGGCCUGGUGAGUAAUGUCUGGGAAACUGCCUGAUGGAGGGGGCUUACUACUGGAAACGGUAGCUACUACCGCAUACCCUCAGAUUUGCCCCGAUGGGAUUAGCUUGUUGGUGGGGUAACGGAACACCAAGGCGACGAUCCCUAGCUGGUCUGAGAGGAUGACCGGCAACACGGGAACGGAGAAACGGUCCAGACGCCUACGGGAGGCAGCCGAGGGGAAUAUGGGAAAAUGGGCGCAAGCAUGAUGCGGCCAUGCCGCGUGUAUGAAGAAGGCCUGCGGGUUGUAAGGGAAUUGCAGCGGGGAGGCGUUACCGGCAGAAGAAGCACCGGCUAACUCCGUGCCAGCAGCCGCGGUAAUAC